rnacentral:rRNA from 1 species
AUUGAACGCUGGCGGUAUGCUUUACACAUGCAAGUCGAACGGUAACAGGUUAAGCUGACGAGUGGCGAACGGGUGAGUAAUGCAUCGGAACGUGCCCGGUCGUGGGGGAUAACGCAGCGAAAGCUGCGCUAAUACCGCAUACGAUCUGAGGAUGAAAGCGGGGGACCGUAAGGCCUCGCGCGAUCGGAGCGGCCGAUGUCAGAUUAGGUAGUUGGUGGGGUAAAGGCUCACCAAGCCAACGAUCUGUAGCUGGUCUGAGAGGACGACCAGCCACACUGGGACUGAGACACGGCCCAGACUCCGACGGGAGGCAGCAGUGGGGAAUUUUGGACAACGGGCGAAAGCCUGAUCCAGCAAUGCCGCGUGCAGGAAGAAGGCCUUCGGGUUGUAAACUGCUUUUGUACGGAGCGAAAAGGUCUCCUCUAAUACAGGGGGCUCAUGACGGUACCGUAAGAAUAAGCACCGGCUAACUACGUGCCAGCCGCCGCGGUAA